AUGAACGCUGGCGGCGUGCCUAAUACAUGCAAGUCGCGCGAACAGACGAGGAGCUUGCUCCUCUGACGUUAGCGGCGGACGGGUGAGUAACACGUGGAUAACCUACCUAUAAGACUGGGAUAACUUCGGGAAACCGGAGCUAAUACCGGAUAAUAUAUUGAACCGCAUGGUUCAAUAGUGAAAGACGGUUUUGCUGUCACUUAUAGAUGGAUCCGCGCCGCAUUAGCUAGUUGGUAAGGUAACGGCUUACCAAGGCAACGAUGCGUAGCCGACCUGAGAGGGUGAUCGGCCACCCUGGAACUGAGACACGGUCCAGACUCCUACGGGAGGCAGCAGUAGGGAAUCUUCCGCAAUGGGCGAAAGCUUGACGGAGCAACGCCGCGUGAGUGAUGAAGGUCUUCGGAUCGUAAAACUCUGUUAUUAGGGAAGAACAAAUGUGUAAGUAACUAUGCACGUCUUGACGGUACCUAAUCAGAAAGCCACGGCUAACUACGUG
rnacentral:rRNA from 1 species